AGAGUUUGAUCCUGGCUCAGGAUGAACGCUAGCUACAGGCUUAACACAUGCAAGUCGAGGGGCAGCAUGUUGGUUGCUUGCAACCAACGAUGGCGACCGGCGCACGGGUGAGUAACGCGUAUCCAACCUACCCUUGUCCAUCGGAUAACCCGUCGAAAGGCGGCCUAACACGAUAUGCGGUUCACAGCAGGCAUCUAACGUGAACGAAAUGUAAAGGAGAAGGAUGGGGAUGCGUCUGAUUAGCUUGUUGGCGGGGUAACGGCCACAAGGCGACGAUCAGUAGGGGUUCUGGAGAGGAAGGUCCCCCANAUUGGAACUGAGACACGGUCCAAACUCCUACGGGUGCA
rnacentral:rRNA from 1 species